rnacentral:tRNA from 1 species
UGCGGGGUAGAGCAGUUUGGUAGCUCGCGAGGCUCAUAACCUUGAGGUCACGGGUUCAAAUCCCGUCUCCGCUA